GUUGAAGGUUCAGCAAGAAGAAAAGCAUCGGUGCAAAGAAAUCUAGAGAAGUGGAAAUAUAGGUAUUGUGUUACUUGGCUUCACUAUUUCCAGAAAACAUAAACUUGUUUUGGCAAGAUGAGGUACCAAGUUAUGUAGUCAAUAAUCCAGAGUGCUUAUCAUGCUCGGCCAUCUGGCCAGACCUCUGCAUUGCCUCCUACAAGUAGUACAAAUAAACCUGGUAGUGAAGUGAAGUCUUCUGAGAGACCUGGUAACACAUGAUUACAAAGAAGUUCCUCAAACCAAAUGCAACCACCAAGU